rnacentral:rRNA from 1 species
CCUACGGGCGGCAGCAGUGAGGAAUAUUGGUCAAUGGACGCAAGUCUGAACCAGCCAAGUCGCGUGCAGGAUGACGGCCCUAUGGGUUGUAAACUUCUUUUGUACGGGGAUAAAUCGCGACACGUGUACCUUUUUGCAUGUACUUUAUGAAUAAGGAUCGGCUAACUCCGUGCCAGCAGCCGCGGUAAUACGGAGGAUCCAAGCGUUAUCCGGAUUUAUUGGGUUUAAAGGGUGCGUAGCUGGGUUGUUAAGUCAGUGGUGAAAUUUUGCGGCUCAACCGUAAAAUUGCAUUUGAUACUGGCAGGCUUGAGUACAGUUGAGGUAGGCGGAAUGCGUGGUGUAGCGGUGAAAUGCUUAGAGAUCACGAAGAACCCCGAUUGCGAAGGCAGCUUACCAAACUGCGACUGACAUUGAGGCUCGAAAGUGUGGGUAGCAAACAGGAUUAGAUACCCUGGUAGUC